ACUCCUACGGGAGGCAGCAGUGGGAAUAUUGCACAAUGGGCGCAAGCCUGAUGCAGCCAUGCCGCGUGUAUGAAGAAGGCCUUCGGGUGUAAAUGUACUUACAGCAGUGAGGAAGGUGGAGUCGUUAAUAGCGGCCUCAUUUGACGUUAGCUGCAGAAGAAGCACCGGCUAACUCCGUGCCAGCAGCCGCGGUAAUACGGAGGGUGCGAGCGUUAAUCGGAAUUACUGGGCGUAAAGCGCAUGCAGGUGGUUUGUUAAGUCAGAUGUGAAAGCCC
rnacentral:rRNA from 1 species